rnacentral:rRNA from 1 species
GAUGAACGCUAGCUACAGGCUUAACACAUGCAAGUCGCAGGGUAACAUGAGGAAAGCUUGCUUUCCUUGAUGACGACUGGCGCACGGGUGAGUAACGCGUAUCCAACCUUCCCAUAACUACGGGAUAACCCGUUGAAAGACGGCCUAAUACCGUAUGAUAUCGUUUGCUGACAUCAAAUAACGAUUAAAGGUUUAGCGGUUAUGGAUGGGGAUGCGUCUGAUUAGCUUGUUGGCGGGGUAACGGCCCACCAAGGCGACGAUCAGUAGGGGUUCUGAGAGGAAGGUCCCCCACAUUGGAACUGAGACACGGUCCAAACUCCUACGGGAGGAAGCAGUGAGGAAUAUGGGUCAAUGGGCGAGAGCCUGAACCAGCCAAGUAGCGUGCAGGACGACGGCCCUAUGGGUUGUAAACUGCUUUUAUGUGGGGAUAAAGUGCGUGACGUGUCAUGCAUUGCAGGUACCACAUGAAUAAGGACCGGCUAAUUCCGUG